CUACGGGCGGCACCAGUGAGGAAUAUUGCACAAUGGAGGAAACUCUGAUGCAGCGACGCCGCGUGGAGGACGAAGUCCGUUAGGAUGUAAACUCCUUUUUUGAGAGAAGAAUGCUUGAUUUUUUCAAGUGAGACGGUAUCUUUAGAAUAAGCACCGGCUAACUACGUGCCAGCAGCCGCGGUAAUACGUAGGGUGCAAGCGUUGUCCGGAAUUACUGGGUGUAAAGGGUCCGUAGGCGGAUAGGUAAGUCUGUGGUGAAAUCUUAUGGCUCAACCAUAAAAUUGCCAUUGAAACUGCUUGUCUAGAGCGUAAAAGAGGAAGAUGGAAUUCAUGGUGUAGCAGUGAAAUGCGUAGAUAUCAUGAAGAACACCGGUUGCGAAGGCUAUCUUCUGGUUUAUUGCUGACGCUCAUGGACGAAAGCGUGGGGAGCGAACAGGAUUAGAUACCCGUGUAGUC
rnacentral:rRNA from 1 species